GACGAACGCUGGCGGCGUGCCUAAUACAUGCAAGUCGAGCGAAUCGAUGGGAGCUUGCUCCCUGAGAUUAGCGGCGGACGGGUGAGUAACACGUGGGUAACCUGCCUGUAAGACUGGGAUAACUUCGGGAAACCGGAGCUAAUACCGGAUACUUUCUUUUCUCGCAUGAGGGAAGAGGGAAAGAUGGUUCUGCUAUCACUUACAGAUGGACCCGCGGCGCAUAAGCUAGUUGGUGAGGUACCGGCUCACCAAGGCAACGAUGCGUAGCCGACCUGAGAGGGUGAUCGGCCACACUGGGACUGAGACACGGCCCAGACUCCUACGGGAGGCAGCAGUAGGGAAUCUUCCGCAAUGGACGAAAGUCUGACGGAGCAACGCCGCGUGAGCGAAGAAGGCCUUCGGGUCGUAAAGCUCUGUUGUUAGGGAAGAACAAGUACGAGAGUAACUGCUCGUACCUUGACGGUACCUAACCAGAAAGCCACGGCUAACUACGUGCCAGCAGCCGCCGUAACAC
rnacentral:rRNA from 1 species